rnacentral:rRNA from 1 species
AUCAACUUUCGAUGGUAGGAUAGAGGCCUACCAUGGUGGUAACGGGUAACGGGGUGUUAGGGCACGACACCGGAGAGGGAGCCUGAGAAACGGCUACCACAUCCAAGGAUGGCAGCAGGCGCGCAAAUUACCCAAUCCCGACACGGGGAGGUAGUGACAAUAAAUAACAAUACGGGGUUCUUUCGGAUUUCGUAAUUGGAAUGAGUACAAUUUAAAUCUCUUAACGAGGAACAAUUGGAGGGCAAGUCUGGUGCCAGCAGCCGCGGUAAUUCCAGCUCCAAUAGCGUAUAUUAAAGUUGCUGCAGUUAAAAAGCUCGUAGUUGAAUUUCGGGACCAUCAUGUCGGUCGUGCCUCGGUACGUACUGGCAUUGUUGGUUUCUCCCUUCUGACGAACCAUGAUGUCAUUUAUUUGGUGUUGUGGGGAAUCAGGACUGUUACUUUGAAAAAAUUAGAGUGUUUAAAGCAGGCUCACGCUUGAAUACAUUAGCAUGGAAUAAUGAAAUAGGACGUUUGAUUCUAUUUUGUUGGUUUCUAGGAUCGACGUAAUGAUUAAUAGGGAUAGUUGGGGGCAUUAGUAUUCAAUUGUCAGAGGUGAAAUUCUUGGAUUUAUUGAAGACUAACUACUGCGAAAGCAUUUGCCAAGGAUGUUUUCAUUAAUCAAGAGCGAAAGUUAGGGGAUCGAAGACGAUCAGAUACCGUCGUAGUCUUAACCAUAAACUAUGCCGACUAGGGAUCGGAUGAUGUUAAUUUUUUAAUGACUCAUUCGGCGCCUUACGGGAAACCAAAGUGUUUGGGUUC